UGGGGGGACCAUCCUCCAAGGCUAAAUACUCCUGACUGACCGAUAGUGAACCAGUACCGUGAGGGAAAGGCGAAAAGAACCCCGGCGAGGGGAGUGAAAAAGAACCUGAAACCGUGUACGUACAAGCAGUGGGAGCACGCUUAGGCGUGUGACUGCGUACCUUUUGUAUAAUGGGUCAGCGACUUAUAUUCUGUAGCAAGGUUAACCGAAUAGGGGAGCCGAAGGGAAACCGAGUCUUAACUGGGCGUUAAGUUGCAGGGUAUAGACCCGAAACCCGGUGAUCUAGCCAUGGGCAGGUUGAAGGUUGGGUAACACUAACUGGAGGACCGAACCGACUAAUGUUGAAAAAUUAGCGGAUGACUUGUGGCUGGGGGUGAAAGGCCAAUCAAACCGGGAGAUAGCUGGUUCUCCCCGAAAGCUAUUUAGGUAGCGCCUCGUGAAUUCAUCUCCGGGGGUAGAGCACUGUUUCGGCAAGGGGGUCAUCCCGACUUACCAACCCGAUGCAAACUGCGAAUACCGGAGAAUGUUAUCACGGGAGACACACGGCGGGUGCUAACGUCCGUCGUGAAGAGGGAAACAACCCAGACCGCCAGCUAAGGUCCCAAAGUCAUGGUUAAGUGGGAAACGAUGUGGGAAGGCCCAGACAGCCAGGAUGUUGGCUUAGAAGCAGCCAUCAUUUAAAGAAAGCGUAAUAGCUCACUGGUCGAGUCGGCCUGCGCGGAAGAUGUAACGGGGCUAAACCAUGCACCGAAGCUGCGGCA
rnacentral:rRNA from 1 species